UAUUAAUUAAGAUCGGUACUGAAGAAGUCAAGGUUGGAGGAUAUUCGAUUCAAAGACAAAACGUAUCUUGCGAGAGUACAUACGGGAAUGAAGUUAUUGCAGUGAAAAAGAGGAUAUGCGCUUGCGUGACUUUUGUUCUCUCAUAACCAUCUUUUUUUUUUUUUUUAUUAAAAGAAGAUAUCUGUUCAAGUUUCCAUGAUGGCAGAUCGAUACCUUAAUCAUAAUUAUCGUAAUUCUUAUUGCAAAAAACGCUGUUAAAAUAUGAAUAAAUUUCUGAUCCUACGAUGGCAAUUUUUAUAGCCCUACAUUAUGCAACUUAUGGCAUUCACGCUAAAAUUUACAUAUAAGAGAUAAUAUUUAGUCGAUCAAUAGAAAAGAAGGAGGGAUAAUCGUACUCGUCGACUUUUUCGUAAUCAGUCGCAUGCCGGACGUUGCAAAGAAAUGAUUCCUUUAGAAAUUCAGUAUUUUAGCUUCAAUAGAAUUCUAUUGCUCGUGAUCGGCUUGUGGCCCUAUCAACAAUCUAAAUUGACACGAUUGCAGUUUAUUUGCUUCUCUACUAUUCUGACAGCGGGUGUUAUAUUUCAGUUAACAACGCUAAUAACAUCAAAAUGUACGUCAAAUCUCGUCAGGGUUCUAUCUUCCGCAUCUUUAUUUAUUGUUUCCUUAAUAAAAUACAACUCAUUCUGUAUUAACAUCAAAGCUUAUUUGCUGUUAGCACCGCAUUUGUCAUUAUUACCAGCCAAUAUUGGUUGAAUACUCUUGUCGUUUUACCGAAAAACGUAUCUCAAUUACGUCAUCUGCCAAUUAUGAUGGAAUAUUUUAUCGAUCAGGAAAAGUAUUUCUAUUUGAUUCUGCUGCACUUCAGUGCAGUAAUUUGCGUCGGGUGGGCUUCGAUAUUAGCAAUAGGAACAAUGCUCAUUACAUUGAUGCAGUGUAUCUGUGGAAUGUUUAGAAUUGCUUGGUACGAAAAUAGACGUAGGAACGAUUAUAAUAAUUUGAAUUGUAACCAAAAUUUGUUAUUAUUAAACAACAUAAUGUGUUAAAAAAUAAUUGUGUAAAAGUGUGGUUUUAGCUGAAAAACUGUCAUUCAGUGUGUUGCUGUAUAAUUAUGACACAAACAUUUACAGCUAUCGUAUCAAGCAUGCAAUAAAUAUCAACAUUCGACAAAAUAUUACGCUGAAAAAUAAAAUCUUAAUGACUGAGGGCAUAAUUUGUGCUGUCGACAUUCACCGACAAGCUAUGAAAUUGUCCAAACACUUGCUGUCUACAUUCGAGAUAAUGAUGUUUUGUUUAAUAGUGUGUGGCGUGGCUUGCUUAACUCUGAAUCUAUUUCAAAUUUUUCAGAUUGCUUCAUCUGAAAAUAAUGUCGAGGAAUUUUUUUUCCCGCUGCUAUGUGUAUCUGUCAGUAUUAUAUAUAUGUUUAUAGCCAACUAUAUUGGGCAGGAUAUAAUAGAUCACAAUAAUGAUGUCCUUUUUACUGCGUAUAACGUUCAGUGGUAUAGAGCCCCGUUACAUAUACAAAGAAUGAUACUAUUUCUAUUACAAAGAGUAACCAAGGAGUUUACUUUGAAUGUUGGUGGAUUAUUUAGUGCAUCUAUAGAAUGUUUUGCCACGCUGGUUAAAUCUUCGGUAUCUUACUUUACUGUUAUAUAUUCUACACGAUGAUGAAGCAAGUGUGAAUUCGGUAACAGCAUGGUGAGAGCGUAAUUAAUCAAGAAGCAACAUAUUCAUAUUUAGAAAAUACAAAUUUUUUGAAAAUGCAGUUUAGAUAUUUAUAAAAAACUGUUAUGAAAGAUAAUAGAAGGUAAAAAUUAUUCAAAUCAAGAUAUUAUAGUACAUCAGGUAUCUUUGGUGCA